rnacentral:rRNA from 1 species
ACGGGAGGCAGCAGUGGGGAAUAUUGCACAAUGGGGGAAACCCUGAUGCAGCAACGCCGCGUGAGUGAUUGAAGUAUUUCGGUAUGUAAAGCUCUAUCAGCAGGGAAGAAAAUGACGGUACCUGACUAAGAAGCCCCGGCUAACUACGUGCCAGCAGCCGCGGUAAUACGUAGGGGGCAAGCGUUAUCCGGAUUUACUGGGUGUAAAGGGAGCGUAGACGGCAAUGUAAGUCUGAAGUGAAAGCCCCGGGCUCAACCCGGGAACUGCUUUGGAAACUGUAUAGCUAGAGCGCAGGAGAGGUAAGUGGAAUUCCUAGUGUAGCGGUGAAAUGCGUAGAUAUUAGGAGGAACACCAGUGGCGAAGGCGGCUUACUGGACUGUAACUGACGUUGAGGCUCGAAAGCGUGGGGAGCAAACAGGAUUAGAUACCCUGGUA